rnacentral:rRNA from 1 species
GGCGGGUGUGCUGUCCCUUUCGUGAGGGUUAAUACGAAAAGGGUGCGUAGGGCGGUACAUUAGGUCUGUCGUGAAAUCCCCGGGCUCAACCUGGGAAUGGCGGUGGAAACCGGUGAACUAGAGUAUGGGAGAGGGUGGUGGAAUUCCAGGUGUAGCGGUGAAAUGCGUAGAGAUCUGGAGGAACAUCAGUGGCGAAGGCGGCCACCUGGCCCAAUACUGACGCUGAGGCACGAAAGCGUGGGGAGCAAACAGGAUUAGAUACCCUUGUAGUCCACGCCCUAAACGAUGAAUACUAGAUGUUUGGUGCCAAGCGUACUGAGUGUCGUAGCUAACGCGAUAAGUAUUCCGCCUGGGAAGUACGGCCGCAAGGUUAAAACUCAAAGGAAUUGACGGGGGCCCGCACAAGCGGUGGAGCAUGUGGUUUAAUUCGAUGCAACGCGAAGAACCUUACCUGGGCUUGACAUGUCUGGAAUCCUGCAGAGAUGCGGGAGUGCCCUUCGGGGAAUCAGAACACAGGUGCUGCAUGGCUGUCGUCAGCUCGUGUCGUGAGAUGUUGGGUUAAGUCCCGCAACGAGCGCAACCCUUGUCCUUAGUUGCCAGCGGUUCGGCCGGGCACUCUAGGGAGACUGCCGGUGACAAACCGGAGGAAGGUGGGGAUGACGUCAAGUCCUCAUGGCCUUUAUGUCCAGGGCUACACACGUGCUACAAUGGCGCGUACAGAGGGAAGCCAAGCCGCGAGGUGGAGCAGACCCCAGAAAGCGCGUCGUAGUUCGGAUUGCAGUCUGCAACUCGACUGCAUGAAGUCGGAAUCGCUAGUAAUCGCGGGAUCAGCAUGCC